ACCACAUAGGGGUGUAUUCUGCAUGGAAAUGAUGUAGACUCCACAUAAGUAUAUUGUUUUAAUUUUUCAAAGCAACAUAAUUAAUAAAAUACCCACAACUCUCACAAAAAUAAAUAAUUCCGGAUUGCUCUCGAUUUAAUUCAAAGUUGAUAUUCAUCAACAGCACACCUUUCGAUCCAAAAAAUCGUUCGUGCAAAAUUUAUUUGUAUUGAUAGAUUUUGAUAGACUACAGUCAGUUUCUGGAUCGAAGGUCGUGUUUUAUAUGAAUUAUAUGACUAAAUUUGAAAAAAGUGGAGAUUUCUGCAGAAAACCAGACCGAUACCGGUUUUGUCUUGUAUAGAAUUCCACAAGCUGACGUUUUGGCGGGGAAAUCUUGGCACGUCGCGAUGGUAUAAAGAUUAUAUUAUCAAAUGAUAACAAUUUUAUUUCAAUUCAUUCUGCUUUAUUUUUUAACACACCACAGGGCCGAUAUAGCUAAACAUGGUCUUAGUCCUUUGAUUUGCUUGUAGUAAAACAAUAUAUAUUUUCUUGUAAAUAUCAAAAUAGUCCGCAAGUACAUAUAUCUGCGAUUAGAAAAAUAGUUACGAACAGAAUUGUGGUUGAGAAGUACUUGCUGCUAAGAAACUGUAGACAUGAUGAUUAUGAAAUUCACUGGCAGAGAAUAUGUGAAAACUCAUAUGCAUGAUCAGUAUAUACAUGUAGGUCUAUAGGUACUUUUUCAUCAAAUACGAUUGUGUUUCUUUUUUCUUUCUUUUCUUUUUGUGUGUUGUUUGGUUUGAUCAAUAGAUACAUUGUAAAUCAUAUCUAGAUCUACAUGUACAUGUAUUAUAGUUAUCAAAAUAUGUUACCAAGAAAAUAAUACUUAUGUAGCUCUCUCUCUCUCUCUCUCUCUCUCUCUCUCUCUCUCUCUCGCUCUCUCUCUCUCUCUGAAAAAGAAGUUUACAUCAUAUAUAUGCUUACACAAAAGAAUAAGAUGAAUAUGAAAUGUAGACAGCAUACCUUAUGUUAUUGAGUUCGUAUUUCAAAAUGAAUAUGUGUGAAAAUAUCCAUGUAACCUAUUUCCCAUAUGUAUCAUGCAACAGUGAUAUAUGCAUGAAGUGAAAAAUUCGUAAAUAAUUUUUUUUUAAAUCAACAGUACACAUUUGAGAGCUUCUAAGUUUGCACGAUUAUUGUAUGCUUAUAUCAUGUUCAUUUGUAUGAUAUCACUUCCAAAGUGCAUGGAUAUAUAUUUUUUAGGGUUAUAAUAAUAUAGAGAUGGUGAAGAUAUUAUCUAAUUAAAUUUGCUUUAAUUUACUACCAAUACCCGAGUUCUUGAUCGAGUUGUGUAGAAUACAUCCCCAUAGAACUUAUUGUCGAAAUAAUGCACACCGAAUUGUAUUGUUGAGUAGAUGCAGAUUUUGCAAAUGUUGUAGGUUUAGAUUCAAACUUCUAAAUAACAGUAAAUAGACUUUCAGGUUACAAUAUGUACUCUCAGGAACUUAAAUUGAGAAGUGUUCAUCAGUGCAUGUUUGUAUUAGAAUGCUGAAUUCAUUUCUAAUGUGUGAAACUUUGCAUGGUUUCAAACUGCACUGCAUUAAAUUCAUAUUAUAAAAUAUAAGAUAUGCUGAUUCCAAAAUUAACUAGUCCUGAAUUUUGUGAACAAGUACUAUAUGCGAUAAAUAUUCGCAUACAGUUUAGUGCCCAAAUGUUACAAGCAUGCGAGGUAAUCGAACACAAAUACAUCUAGGAAUGCAAGUAAGUAAGUAAGUAAAUUAUUUAUUAUAGUGAAAUGUGUUAUAUAUUAAACAGAAUAAUAGGAAUUUAGGAAUUUAAACACCCGGCCCAUCGGGCCUAUAUGUCACUUUUAACAGGACCCCCCCCCCCCCCACACACACACACAUUAAAUAAUAAAUACAGUGGUACAUGUAUUACACAUGACUUAUACUAUUAUGGUAUAUGGUAGACUGUCUGUAGGUGUAUGCGGAGAACAGGAAUUUUGCAGUUUGUCUUAGGAAAUUUAAUAAUAGAAAUUUUGUUUUGUCUAAAUCUGACAUAUUGAUCACAGUGGGGUUAAAUCCGAUACUGGUAAAAAAGAUUACUCUAAGAUUUGAAUAAGAGAAACAAUGAAGUAAAAUGUGACAUUCAUCUUCUACACUAUCUGAAGAACAUAAAGUACACAGUCUAUCCGAUAACGUCUCCCCCUUAUACCGUCCUGUUUCAAUUCUUAUAGGUAAGACACCACAUCUGAACUAGGCAAGUAUAGAACGAUGACUUUUUGGAAUAUCCAUGAUUACAUAUUUCUCUGUUUGAAAAUCACUCAUAUUUUUACGGUCGGUAGGUUCUAAGUUUUGGAACGUUAUGGACCUCUUCAUUCCAGCCAUUCAUAAAAUCCAGACGAAGUUUUUCUUCCACUGUGUUCACGUUACAGACCAUACGAUUUAGGAAAUCUACUGUUAUAUCAAGAGAUUCAAAAAGGAAUUUGACUGUAUUUGACCAAUUUAUGUUGUGUGAUUAUUCCAUAUCCCACAUGAAAUUUUUUUUUCGUAAGCCUGUCGUCCGGCAUUGUAACGAGUCGAUUCCAUAGGCGUAAAAUAUUCAUUUGAUGUCGAUAAAAUGAAGGAAGCAUUACAUCCUUACAGGUCAACUGCCUUUCUAUUGGUAUUAGAAAUGCUCAUUCAAUCUCAAAUUAUAAUAAUAAAUAAAGCGGCAAGCUAAAUUACCACUUAUGGUGGUACAUCUAGGUAUUAGAUUUUGUCAUAAUUGUGUACUAUGAACAAUGAUCUAUUACUGCAACCUCGUUAUGUUCAUGUGAAUAUUAUAAGUAUAAGAUGCAUACCAUUAUUUUUUUUUCUUCUGUCCGAAAUUCGCAAAGGCUAGGAAGGAUUUCUUCGGUCAUUUUUAUGGACUUGAUAAAACUCAAACCGUUGACACCAUAUGUUUUAUGAGACGAUGAUUCGUAUUGUGUUAAAUUAUUUUGUAUUUUUCAAAGAUAUAUUAGAAAACCUGACAGAUUCAGUUAAGCUUUGAAUUGAAAUGUUUUUAAACAAAUAAUAUUAAUAUUAUUACACAUGUAUAAUGUCCUAAAAUGUAGUGUGACUAAUAAUGUAUGUACACAUGUCAUAAUCUACAUGUACACUGUAUGUAGAGAGAGGGCAACAUAAGUUUUCAGAACAUAUGCCUAUAAUCACAUUGUAUAUCCUUGAUACUAUUAUAACAUAUGAUAAAAUCAAAACACCCAUUGACAUGCAUGCAUAAUUAUACAUGUAUGCAAAUUACAUAUUGAUUGCUAAAUCAAUAAAUUGAGCAUAUUCGAAAAAAAUUCCAGUUGGCAUAUUUCAUGUACUUACUUGCAUGUGCGAAUUAACGUAUUUCACACGCAGACAUAUGUGUCUAAUUCUACCACCUGACUAUAGUAUUAGUGUUUGAAAUCUUAAUUUAUAGUAUUCAUAGUUUUGAAAUUAUGAAAAUAAAAAAAUCUACAUUCUUAGCAAUGCACAUGCAACGUAAAAUCUGCGUAAAUACAUGGCUGUAUAUAAAUGUCCCAGUUGAAGGUUUAUCUUCAAUUCAACCCCAACCCCACAUAUGCACUUAUUUUUAAUUACAAUGAACUUCGAUCUUUGUUUCUAUGCGGUGACAAAGCUGGACAUUAUUCUUCCAGUUUAUAUUACCUUGUGUAUUUAUCUCUAUUGUUCCCAUGACGGAGGAAAAUCCUUGCAAUUAACAUGGAACUAACAAGAAAUACACGGAGGGAUUAACUGAAGUACACAGGCAUGCUAGCUUGUCAAACGUAACAACACACGGAAUAUACUUUGUUUUCUGUAUCUCAUUUCAUAUCUGUUUUGUUUAACUGAAAAAAAUUCUUAUAACAAUAUGAUGUAUAUAAAGUGCUUACUAUUCUUCUCUCACUUACAUUUUAAAGUUUUUUGUGUGCUUUUUAAAUUCGCAUUUGAAUUAUUUAUUGCAUAUUUAAUUAUUACUUUAAAAACCUCCGAAUUUUUGUUAAGUUUCAGCAUUGCGGAAACCAUUAGGAAUCAAAGCCUACAGUUUCCGCAGACUGAAACUUGACGGAAACUAUAUAAUCGUUUACGCACGGCGUAAACCAUACGGGAAACCUCAACUUCAGGUUUCCGCAGACUGAAACUUGACGGAAACUUGCGGAAACUAUAUAAUCGUUUACGCACUGCGGAAACCAUAUGGGAAACCUCAACGUCAGGUUUCCGCAAGGUUUCCAUAUGGUUUCAGUUUUGCGGAAACUAGCGUUUUCAUCCAGUGUGUGUUUGUAUGAAAUGUAUGCGUUUCUCAAAUUUAUUUUUCCUCCCAGUGCACUGUUUAAUAUUUUGCAGUUGUCAAUUGACAAACAUUGUUUUUUAAUACAAAGAUCAUGAAAAAAUUGCUGCUCAUUUUGUCGAUGUACAUAUUUUUGAAAAAAUUAAUGUAGUUAAUUUCAAUAUGAAAUGCAAGUCACUUUUGCAGGGAACAUAUUUUCAUUUGGCAUUGAGGUACAUGUAUUUACAUCAAAUACUACUGUUGAUAGAUUUUCAUAAGAGUUAUGGCCCUUUGUAUAGAAUAAUUGUUGGGGUUGUAGGGGGUAGUAAUACUGUAAUAAGACUGCUUGUUUUCAACCUGGCAUCAUGAAGUCGAGUACGUGUAUUUCAUUCUGAUGUACCUGGUAAUAACCAUAGCAAUUCUUCUCCGUGUGACAUCACAACAGCCAAUAGCAACGACCGGUUCGAAAAAACAUAUCACAUAUCAGACCGGUGUUCAACGACCAGUCCGAAAACUCAUAUCACACAUCAGAUCGGUGUUCAACGACCAGUCCGAAAACACAUAUCACAUAUCAGACCGGUGUGCAAAAAUGCAUAUCAAAUCAAGGAAAAGAAAACAUGUUAUCUAUAGUGACUCGGAAUCACAUUGAUGACCCUAUUUGAAAAUGUUGUAUAUCCCUUUAAGUUCAUAAGAAAUAAGACUCAUUGUUAAUUAUGAUGAAUACAUAAGAAAUAAAACUCGUUUCAUGUAUUCUUAACUUUGUUGACAAGUUUAUUAAAUUUUGAUACUUCCACAAUCAACUAUGUUUAAAUCUAAAGAAAGACAAAAUAUAAUACAUCUGCAUGCAACAAAUAUUCCUUCAUCUACCUCUAAAAAGUGCCCAAAAAAUUUGAACCUGCAUGUUACAAAUAGAAUACCAUUAUGUAAAAUCGGCUCUAAGAUUCAAUAUCAGCUUUGAUCAGAUAAAAAAUCUCCCUCAAAAACACUGUAUAUAUAUAUAUACAUAUUUUGAAAUGUAUAUAAUAAAUGAAAUAUUAAUUGCUAAAAUCUAUAUCGUAUGUCAUGUAAGCCUCAGUGGCCCCAGGCUGAUAUGACAUAGGCUAUGGAUUUUAGCACAUGCAUUUUUUAUUUACUCUCUAUAUCAUCAUCUAUUUGAAUUAAAAAUGAUACUGGCCUUUAAGAUUAAUGUUAUCAUGAUAUGUUCCCUAUUAAUUAAUGUUAUAUGCUAUGCUGUUUUUCAACGUUCAGAUCCCAAACCAAUUCCUAUGUCGUCUUACCCGAUGUCACAGCCUCCCUACCCUGGUCAUCAGAAUGACACGCCAUUAGCAGGACAACCACCACCACCAUAUGACUCCACGCUCGAAGGGGGUUUGCCUUAUCCUGUGAAUCCACCACCAUUUCAGCAUCAAGAUGGGGAGAAGUCCUACAUGCCUUCCGAUGGAUCUUUGCCAUAUCCUGUGAAUUCAACCAUCGGCUCCCGGAAACCCUCCAUAUCCACUCCCUGGCAACAUGCCCUACCCAUCAGCGAGCAACACUCCUUCCUAUGAUAUUUAGCUGCUUCACUGAAGUUUACAUUGUGUAGUGUUUUAAGUUUUUUUUUUUUUCAUUUUUACGAAUUCGAAUGUGCAAAUAAUGAGCAAUUUGAACAGAUUGUGUACACUUUUCCCCUGACCCUGUUUUAGAUAUUAAACCUAUUGAUUAUUUUCAUUCUUUUGCCACAGUUUGGUACACUUUUCUAGUAAACUUUGGAUAUGCUUGUACAUUUGUAGUUAUGGAGAUCAUUAUCAUCAGUACACAAUGUUUUACUAUUGACACACAGGUUUUUUAAAUGUAUAUUUUAACGUCUGCAAAUAUAAAUUCUUUUAAUCUGGCCAAGUUAAAUUAUGAACAAAAUUUGAAUGGCUGGCAUUGAUUUUUGUUCACCAUAUUUGCAUAAGAAUUUAACAAAACGAAAUGCAGUAACUACAUGUAGUUACAUUCAGUGAAUUAAAAAAGAACUGUUGUCAUCUUCUGUGAAUUAAAGGAGAACUAGUUUAUGCAGGUAUAAAGGCAAUGAAAGCAUGGGGUAAUUUUUGUUUAUAUUCUGUAAAUAAACUUGGUUUUUAAUUAUUAGUUUAAACAUUAUUCCAUAAUAUUCAACAAUUUAGAAUGUACAUACAUGUACGUACCUUUACGUAUUGGCGAUUAGAUUGGCAUGCUUCCAUUUAAUGCUGAUUUUAAGGGUGUGGAUUUGUUUACAUCAGUAUUUGUAUAAUUUAUGUUAUACAAUUGUUUUAUGCUUACCUGAGUCUAAAAGUAAGUGUUUCAUCAAAGGUCAUCUUUCCAGAUGAUAGACAUGAAUUCAAAAUUUUAUAUGCCCCCACCAUGAAAUUGCAGGGACAUAUAGAGUCGGUUCUCUCUUUCUGUUCACCAUACCUUAGUAUUUACCGUUUCUAGGGAAUGUGAUAUAUCUGACAAUAUUGAACUGAUAAUAAGCGUGCAAUUGUAGCUUAAUGUGUAACAGAUCAAGAGGAAGUCCAACUUUCAGCAGAGUUGCAGCCCUUGGACUUUUGUAGAAUUCACUGUUUUACAAUUUUUUUCAUCUCUGUGCUUGCAGACAUUAAUCAAUCUGAAAAGUUACAGAUCAUCCCCAAUUAUUCAGAUUGACACAGUUUCAGUGGUUUUACAGCCCUUAGACUUGAAAAAUAAACUUGUCAAAUAAUUCUGUAGGCAUUAUUUCCUCCUCCUUUAUUGCCUAGUCAUUGGACAUAAAAAGAAAUUUAUAAAAUUUGAUAUAAUUUGUGAUAAGUUAGAUUGCAUUGACAAUGGCCUUAUGUAAUGUAAUUUUAUACAUAUGCCCUUUUGAAGAGUUUGAGUGACAGAUUUUUUCCACAAAAUUCAGACAUUAGUGGUAAAUCAUCACACUGUACCCCACCGAUGAAAGUUCUAUUUUGCUGGAAUUUUCGGAGAGAUUUAAAUUAUCCUAUUGAAGCAUCAUAGACAGGCAUUUAAAAGGAAAUUACUUUUACAGAUUCUGAAAUUCUGUAAAUUAUAUAACACUAUCAACAUAACCAGAUGGCAUGAUUUAAAGAAUGGGGAAAGGAGAAUAGCAUUGAUUAUUGUAAAAGUCAGGUUGAAAUAUGUAUUUUUAUAUCUUUUUUGAUAAGUUAAUUUUUUCCUACAUGCAUAUAUUACUCUGUGCUAAGGUUUUAUAUAAAAUUUUGAUAAUAUGUGCUUAACUUUUUAACAACCAUCAAUUAUUUUAUAUUGUAUACAGUAAUUAUAUGUGUGUUAUGGUUUUAAUAUUUUGAAUAUUGCAUGGACAGAAAUUACUGAAUACAUGUACAUGUACUUACUAGUUAAAUUACAUCGUAUUGUUCAGUUUAGGUUAUGUUUUAAAUUGUCCAUGCUAUGUGGCAUUCUAUUAUGAAUAUUUAUACUUUUAUAUUCAACCAUUUGUUUUCCUGCGAUGUUUUGGGUGUGGUCACAAUGGUGUCAUUUUAUUUCAAUUUUUUAUUCUUUAUUGUUAUUUCUACAAUUUUUGUCACAUGAAAAUUCAGGAAGUCCACCAUUACAGAUCUGAGUAGUACUCAGAGUCAGUUCCUUUUUUACUCCUUUACGAUUUACAUUUGAUAAUUCUGUAUUGGAUUGAAGAUUUUGCAUUAUUAUGUUCUUCAGCUUUCUAAAGCAAAUAAAUUCAGUGUUCUUGUACCAUGUAUAAGUAUACAGUUUUUGAAAUUGUAUAUUGAUAUUAUUACAAUUUUAUGGGAAGGUUUAUUAUUUUUAUGUCUGAUAUUAAUUGCUUGAUUAAUAUGUUGUUAUUGCUGGAUAUUCGGAAAUGAAAUAAAUUGUUCAA